GUCUAUGGCCGUGCUACCCUGAACAAGCCCAAUCCCGUCUGAUCUCAGAAACUAAGCAAGGUCGGGCCUGGUUAGUACGUGGAUGGGAGACCACCUAGGAAGACCAGGUGCUUUGGCGU
rnacentral:rRNA from 1 species